UCCCUCUGCAGCCUCAAGGCGCAAUGCCCUGCACCUGCAGGCUGCAGAUGGCUUACCUGGGUGACCAGACCACAUUUUAAUGUGUGUUUCAAAUGGCUGACUGUGUGAAAACUCAGCUGAAUGACAGUUGGCGUCCUUGAAGCUGACUGUAUUUAAAUGUGGAGGAUAGCAGUUGGCCUGGGCUGCAGGUUGUUUGAUGCUGCUCCUGGCAGUGAGUGCCAGCUGCUGCACCACUUUGCAGUAUGGUGGAAUUUGUUUUCCAGUGAGGAAAAGGACCAUGGCCAAAAUUAUCUCUUUCUGACACAGUUUACCUAAGUUGAAUUCUUUUAUAAUGGAAAAUACUGUAUUAGUGUACAUAGGAUGAAAAUGCACAUUCAUGGAAUGAAAUGCCACAACUUUACAGCAAUAAUAGCAGAAAUCAAGAGAAGAGGUAAAUCUGGCUCCAGGAGAGCUUCUUGUGACCACCACAGAACAUUCUCUACAGACCAGUUACAUGCUGCAUGUUUGUAUCUCGCAUGACAGUGUGAGCAAGCUGACUAAUAAAAUUAUAAUAGUGUUAAA